AAAGAGCACUUGCAGUGUUUGAUGUUAGACAAAAAACCGCAUACUGUAAGUGCUCUUUGU
rnacentral:pre_miRNA from 1 species